rnacentral:rRNA from 1 species
GGCGCGCAAUUACCCAAUCCCGACACGGGGAGGUAGUGACAAUAAAUACUGAUACAGGGCUCUUUUGGGUCUUGUAAUUGGAAUGAGUACAAUUUAAAUCCCUUAACGAGGAACAAUUGGAGGGCAAGUCUGGUGCCAGCAGCCGCGGUAAUUCCAGCUCCAAUAGCGUAUAUUAAAGUUGUUGUGGUUAAAAAGCUCGUAGUUGAACCUUGGGCCUGGCUGGCCGGUCCGCCUCACCGCGUGUACUGGUCCGGCCGGGCCUUUCCCUCUGUGGAACCCCAUGCCCUUCACUGGGUGUGGCGGGGAAACAGGACUUUUACUUUGAAAAAAUUAGAGUGCUCCAGGCAGGCCUAUGCUCGAAUACAUUAGCAUGGAAUAAUAGAAUAGGACGUGUGGUUCUAUUUUGUUGGUUUCUAGGACCGCCGUAAUGAUUAAUAGGGACAGUCGGGGGCAUCAGUAUUCAAUUGUCAGAGGUGAAAUUCUUGGAUUUAUUGAAGACUAACUACUGCGAAAGCAUUUGCCAAGGAUGUUUUCAUUAAUCAGGAACGAAAGUUAGGGGAUCGAAGACGAUCAGAUACCGUCGUAGUCUUAACCAUAAACUAUGCCGACUAGGGAUCGGACGAUGUUAUUUUUUGACUCGUUCGGCACCUUACGAGAAAUCAAAGUGCUUGGGCUCCAGGGGGA